CUCCCCCUCCCGGAUCCGUUCCUUCCGUCCUCCCCCUUCCUCCCUCCCUCCACGGCUCCACCCACCAACUCUCCCUCCCUCCCUCCUCCUCCCGGAGGAGCGCCACCCUCGCCUCCCUCUCCGCCUCGUCGUCACCGGCGCGCGUCGCCCGCGCCCGUCCACCGAGGUCACAGACCUAACCGGAGUCGAGGCGUUGUUCCAUAAUCAGCACGGGUGGUGCUCUGCUCAUAAGGAAUCAUCCUUCUUCUAUGCUGUCGGGCCCAGGACAAAUGGCCCAGCUGUUGCACCCUCAGGACUCUGGGUUCUAUGGAAGAAAGGAAAUGGGGGGCCGGUGGAGCUUUCUUGAGUUGUUUGGCCUUCGCCGGCGCCUACGGUCCACGAGGAAGAUGAUCUCUGACAAGAAACAUGGAAGUAAGCUUCGAGGUUGCUAUGUUCCAUUCAAAGACGAAGACAGCGGUGUCACGGAUGAGCAGAGAGUUGUCAUAGAUGAGUACAAAAACACAAAAGUUAAAAAUAAACAAAAGGGUUCAAAAAGGAGUUCUGGUAAGUCUGGUCUGAAGUCAUUGUUUUCAAGAAAAUUGCAUGGAAAGGAAGAUCAGAAAGAGAAGAUGCUUCCUGUCGGACCAAAGCUGCUGCGCACCCUUUCCAUACAUUACUUGGAAAACAAUGACUAUGUUCUUAAUGGUCAGUCAGCUGCCAAUGGUGACGGUUCUUCACACGGCGCUAAACUGUCACCACCAAAUGACACCAGUACAAACUUGCAACAGGAUACGUUAAGCAACCAGGAUGGUUCUGGUACUGACCAUGUGAAACGGAAGAGCCACCGUAGCAUCUCCAUGGAUGGGGUUCUUCAUAAGGUCCCCUAUGGGCAGAGGCUUUCUGGAGAUAACAUUAGACAAGAACUUCCUCGAUCAGCCUCUGCCACAUAUGACAGGGAUGGUCUGAAACCUUACAUUGGCACUGCUGCAAAGAGACAUGGGAACAGCGGUUUUCGGCGUUCGCGUUCCCUAUCUGAAUCACUGGAGAGCUACUCUCACUUGCUGGAUUCCAUUUCAAGCAGUGAAUCCAAAAGGGUGCUGACAAGCUCGAAGUCCACUAGGGACCACUCUUUGGAUGGCCCUGUUGCAGCAACUGCACUGCAGAGAAUUUCCAAUUCUCAGCUCAGAUCAAAAAGUGUGGUUAGACUUGCUGAAUUUCUUGUGAUUCCAGAAGACACAUUGGCAUCAGAAGUUUCAGAGGAAGUUGCUGGAGAUGUGAAACUUGCUGUGGAUGAGGCUUCUUGUAGUGAGGUUGCUGGUGGCUCUGAGAAUCCUGUGUCACUUGAAGAGUUGUUGAGCGAGUGUGAUGUCAUGGAAUCAUCGACUAAAGACAAUUUAUGUAUUGCUCCUUUAGCUUCAGAGGUGGUUGAAGUUUCAGAAGAACAAGCUCCUUUAGCUUCUUCAGAGAUGGUUGAUGUUUCAGAAGAAGCUGCAACUUAUGAUGAUGAUCUGGAGGUUCUCUCAUCGACCCAAGCCAAGCUGUGUACCGACCCUUCAGCAUCUGAAGUUGACAUCCCAGAAGAACAUGCAACAACCUGCAAUGAUGAUGAUGAUGAUGAUCUUAUUCACUCAUCAACUGGAGCUGAUCCAUGCACUCUUCUUAGUCUUCUGCAAUCAGAAGACGUCGACAUUGCAGAACAGCAAGUGCCACCUUCUGAUGAUCAAAUUCAGUCAUGCAUCACCCAACCUUCAGAAGACAUGGACAUUGCGGAAGAACUGGCAACAAUCUCUGAAGACAAUCAGAUUCAUUCAUUUGAUGCUUUGAAAUCAGUGAAAGACCAUCCUGCUGCUAGUUCAGAGAACCAUAUCAUGCUGGAUGAUUCAUCGCUGGUGGAAAAAACUGCCCAUUCAAAUGAAGUGCACGAUCAUUCAGUUGGCAGUGAUGAUGAUCUCGAUUCUAGCACUUCUGUCAAACCACCAACUAGCUCAUUGACUCUGGAGAACAUACUUCAGGAGAACAACCUCAGCGACCUGAACGCCCUCCAAGAAGCGGCAGCAGACCCAAAGAACGAGGCCGAGCUGGCCUACGUGAAGGACAUAUUCAACAAGUCGAGCUUCCGCGACGAGGCGCUGUUCGAAGCUUGGUGCUCGCAGAACCGCGCCGCGCUCCAGGAGGACGACUGCCAGCACUACGAUGCCGCCGCCGCGGCCAUCGACUUCACCGACAUGUCGGCCGACGAGCUGCUCCUGUUCGACCUGACGAACGAGGCUCUUCUCGACGUGUACAAGGACUACGCCGCCGGCGAGUCCAGGCAGCCCCGCUUCUCCGCCUUCCAGCGGCCCAAGCCCGUCGGCGAGCGCGCCCUCAGGGAGCUGCGGUCCAGGGUGGGCCGCCGGCUCGACGAGCGGCCGCAGUCCGGCGUGGAGGUCGACGUCGACGCCGUGCUGUCGAGCGACCUGGCCAGGGCGGACCGCUGGAGCAACUUCCGGCGAGAGGCCGACCAGGUGGCGGGCCUGGUGGCGAACUCCGUGCUCGACAGGCUCGUCACCGAGCUCGCGCUCCAGCUCGCGAAGUUUUGAGUCUGCAUAGAUAGUUAGCCAGCCAUUCAUUUAUUCUGCCUGCCCCCUUUUUUAUUGGUUAGUUAAUUAAUUUAGAUGCUUGAUGAUGAUACAUAUACACCAUGGAAGUGUGAGGGGAUGUUACAUUACAUUACAUUAUCAUGUAGAUAUCAGAAACCAUUUUUGGUUCUUUCCUCCUGGGAGAGGAGAGGAGAAUACAUAGGAACAUGAGUCAGGAGAAUGUUGUUAGGUCAUCUUAGUGAGUCAUCUAGACUAGCUGCUGAGAAUUGGGUGGACAUGGGAAGCACCUGUUUUGUACUAGUGUCUGUUUUGAUGUAUCUUACUUCAGGUAAGAAAAAUCUUGGAACAACCAUUUGUCGGUUCAUGCCUUUCUGGUCUUGC
rnacentral:rRNA from 1 species